rnacentral:pre_miRNA from 1 species
UAAGCUCUGCAGGCUGGUGGGGCCCCAGCAGGGCAGGGCUGGGCGAGUCUCUCUUCCACAGGUUCACCCUCAAGCACAACCUGGAGC